rnacentral:rRNA from 1 species
CCCUCUGGACUGAGAUACCCUCGGGAAACUGAGGUCAAUCUCGGAUACUGCUUCCGUGUUGGAACACAGGAAGCUGGAAACGGUCCGCCGCCGGAGGACGUGACUGCGGCUGAUUAGGUAGACGGUGGGGUAACGGCCCACCGUGCCGAUAAUCAGUACGGGUUGUGAGAGCAAGAGCCCGGAGACGGAAUCUGAGACAAGAUUCCGGGCCCUACGGGGCGCAGCAGCCGCGAAACCUUUACACUGCACGCCAGUGCGAUAAGGGGAUCCCGAGUGCGAGGGCAUACAGUCCUCGCUUUUCGCGACCGUAAGGUGGUCGCAGAAUAAGGGCUGGGCAAGACCGGUGCCAGCCGCCGCGGUAAUACCGGCAGCCCGAGUGAUAGCCAAUUUUAUUGGGCCUAAAGCGUCCGUAGCUGGCCGAACAGGUCCGUCGGGAAAUCCACCCGCUUAACGGGUGGGCGUCCGGCGGAAACCAGUCGGCUUGGGGCCGAGAGACCAAAGGGGUACGUCCGGGGUAGGAGUGAAAUCCCGUAAUCCUGGACGGACCACCGGUUGCGAAAGCGCCUUUGGAGAACGGACCCGACAGUGAGGGACGAAAGCUAGGGUCUCGAACCGGAUUAGAUACCCGGGUAGUCCUAGCCGUAAACGAUGCUCGCUAGGUGUGACGCAGGCUACGAGCCUGCGUUGCGCCGUAGGGAAGCCGAGAAGCGAGCCGCCUGGGAAGUACGUCCGCAAGGAUGAAACUUAAAGGAAUUGGCGGGGGAGCACUACAACCGGAGGAGCCUGCGGUUUAAUUGGACUCAACGCCGGACAUCUCACCGGCACCGACAACGUGCAGUGACGGUCAGUUUGAUGAGCUUACCUGAGCCGUUGAGAGGAGGUGCAUGGCCGCCGUCAGCUCGUACCGUGAGGCGUCCUGUUAAGUCAGGCAACGAGCGAGACCCGCGUCCAUAAUUGCCAGCAGCACCCUUGUGGUGGCUGGGUACAUUAUGGAGACUGCCGUCGCUAAGACGGAGGAAGGAACGGGCAACGGUAGGUCAGUAUGCCCCGAAUGUGCCGGGCGACACGCGGGCUACAAUGGCCAGGACAGUGGGACGCUACCCCGAGAGGGGACGCUAAU